UACGUAGGGUGCGAGCGUUGUCCGGAAUCAUUGGGCGUAAAGCGCGUGUAGGCGGUCCGGUAAGUCCGCUGUGAAAGUCGGGGGCUCAACCCUCGGAUGCCGGUGGAUACUGUCGGGCUUGAGUACGGAAGAGGCGAGUGGAAUUCCCGGUGUAGCGGUGAAAUGCGCAGAUAUCGGGAGGAACACCAAUGGCGAAGGCAGCUCUCUGGGACGGUACUGACGCUGAGACGCGAAAGCGUGGGGAGCGAACAGG
rnacentral:rRNA from 1 species